UCUGAAGACGCCACCCAGAAU
rnacentral:miRNA from 1 species